ACGAACGCUGGCGGCGUGCUUCACACAUGCAAGUCGAACGGAAAGGCCCUGCUUUUGUGGGGUGCUCGAGUGGCGAACGGGUGAGUAACACGUGAGUAACCUGCCCUUGACUUUGGGAUAACUUCAGGAAACUGGGGCUAAUACCGGAUAGGAGCUCCUGCUGCAUGGUGGGGGUUGGAAAGUUUCGGCGGUUGGGGAUGGACUCGCGGCUUAUCAGCUUGUUGGUGGGGUAGUGGCUUACCAAGGCUUUGACGGGUAGCCGGCCUGAGAGGGUGACCGGCCACAUUGGGACUGAGAUACGGCCCAGACUCCUACGGGCGGCCGCAGUGGGGAAUAUUGCACCAUGGGCGGAAGCCUGAUGCAGCAACGCCGCGUGCGGGAUGACGGCCUUCGGGUUGUAAACCGCUUUCGCCUGUGACGAAGCGUGAGUGACGGUAAUGGGUAAAGAAGCACCGGCUAACUACGUG
rnacentral:rRNA from 1 species